UGAAGAAUUACCGCCAACUUGAUGUAUAAAUUAACCGUAACUGAUGGAAGUCAACACUUACUGAGAAAGCGCUGGCUAUCAGAAUAAUUUUUGUCAUUGUCGUUA